rnacentral:rRNA from 1 species
UACGUAGGGUCCAAGCGUUAUCCGGAAUCACUGGGCGUAAAGCGUGCGUAGGUGGCGUGUUAAGUGUGAUGUUAAAUCGUGUGGCUCAGCCAUAUCGAUGUGUCGCAUACUGGCAUGCUAGAGGACAGCAGAGGCAAGUGGAAUUUGUAGUGUAGCAGUGGAAUGCGUAGAUAUUACAAGGAACACCAAUGGCGAAGGCAGCUUGCUGGGCUACUCCUGACACUGAGGUACGAAAGCGUGGGGAGCGAACAGG